GCGACCCUCUCGCUUGUCACUAAGCCACCCCUAGCCUGUGUCCUGAAUGCCACCCCCUCCCGCUCCAUUACGUGCUGGAAUCCAAGUAAAAGCCUGGGCACAGAGGUCCCAGCCCCGGGUCCCGCCACGCGCUUUUAAGAAGAGGGCAGCUAGGGCGGCUGCAGAGAGGGGGAAGGGAGACUAGGGGAAGACAGGUCACAGGGAGAGCGUCUGGUGGAAAGUUAACCCUGGACGAGCACGCCCUACCUGGAGUAACAGGUUUGGAAUGGGUUGUGGCAACCAAGGAGAACGGUGGGCGACCAAGUUGGGGUUGGGAGGGCCCCUACCGGGGUAAAAUUUGAAGUCUUCCCUUUAAAAGGGAGAGACUAAAGGACAACUGGGAGUUGUCACUACAGCGUGCCAGAUAGGGGACCCCACUAGAGAGGAAGCGGCUACAGUAGUUGUUGCUGUAGACGACCCAACCACCGCCUGCAAGAAGAGAAAAACGCCCCCGCUGGAGAAUCGAGGCAUCUGUCGGCUGCUCCAGAGCACAGAAACCGAGGCCUCCCACGGGUGUAACUGGAAGCCGCACGUGGGGGCUCCGCUGACUUUAUUAGGUCGGUGGAGACACACCCGACCACUUGGAGGCGUGCGCCCCGGGGCUGCAGCUCCAGAUCUCGGUGUAGGCACCAGGCGGGUGACCCAGAGGAUGCGACGUGAGACUGAGAAACUCCCCCCGCUGUGGGGAAGGAUUUUUCCAGCAGAUGUUGGAACGAAAGACUCAGACUGUGCACUGCCAGUGGACAAGGAGGCUCAGGUGUGCCUUGUGAAAGAGAACUCCACAUAGAACCAAUGGAUAUAAGGGCAAUUAUAAAGAAAUUCUCCACUUUGUAUUAUACUAACCAGACCAGACUGCAGAUUUUCUUUAUUUUUCAUUUAGUUUGUGAAUACUUACUUGUAAACUGAUUAGAUUAUAAGAACUUGAACUCCCUACCUUGGUGGGUAGCUAAGUUCAUUCUAAUUAAAAAAAACUAAAAGUCACAUAUUCUAACAUCUCAAUUGAUAUUUAAGGAAACCCAUUUAGGACAAAAUCACUGAUAGUUCAUCCAGCAUUGAAUCCUUUCACUGACUAGGAACAAUGCCUUAUUGCUUCUCUCCUCCAUUUUGGUUUUUUUGUGGGGGUGGUGGUGGAGGGAGGAUACAGCUGUAAGCAUAAAUAUAUUUAAUAAAAGUACAAUAUGGGAAGUGCUGGGGUUGUGGCUCAGUAGUGGAGCACUUGCCUCGCACAAGUGAGGUGCUAGAUUUAAUCCUCAGCACCAUAUAAAAAUAAAUAAAAUAAAGAUAUUGUGUCCAUCUGUAACUUAAAAUAUAUUUUAAAUACAAUAUGUCAAUCCCCAUCACUGCAAAUAAUAAUAAUAACACUUUCAACCUAUGGACACAAUUUCAAUAUGUCAGCUCUCAUUUUGAAAUUAUUUUAAUAUUAUUCUACAACCAAGACUACCUAGAUUCAAAAUCCUGACUUUACUGCUUCAUAGCUGGGUGACCUUGGGUAAGUUCAUUAAUCUUUUAGUGC
ensembl:lincRNA